CCCACAGGGCUCCGGGCGGCCGUGACCCUGCUGGAGUCCGGGGGGGACCUCCAGCCCCCCGGGGGGUCCCUGCGCCUCCUCUGCUGCGCCUCCGGCUUCGAUUUCGGCAGUCACACCAUGUUCUGGGUCCGCCAGAGACCCGGGCAGGCGCUGGAGUGGGUGGCGAGGAUCUACGGCAGCGGUGGCGGCAGCUACUACGCAGAUUCGGUGCGGGACCGAUUCAAGAUCUCCAGGGACAACGGGCAGAGCUCGGUGACGCUGACCAUGAGCAGCCUCAAGGACGAGGAUUCCGGAUCCUAUUUCUGCGCCAAGAAUACUUAUAACGACGGCUGGAAUGCUGUUAAUGCUGCAGACGCCGCUGGUGGCUCCACCCCCACCUCACGGUGA